ensembl:lncRNA
AGCUGUGUCACUGCACCUGAGCCUAAAAGGUAUUCAUGGAUGCAGAUGUCAAUAAAGGCAGCACGAUGACAUAAAAAGGAGCGCAAGUUUGAGCAAGCAUGAACAGAGUUCCUCUUUUAAGUGGCAGCAGGUGAUCCAGGUGAUUGAUAGAUGCAUUUUUUUUCUUUUUCUGCCCGUUCUGUUGGUUUUUGUCUUUUGCCCUUCUCCCCCGCCCCUCUUCUCAGCUGUUUCUCUUUCCCUCUUUCUUUCUCCCCUUCUUUUCCCCAGUCAAGUCUGUCCCGUAUUCAGUAAGUGAAAAUAAAAUAAACAAUAAAAGGUGAAUCAAAUGGACCAUUACGGCAAGGCUGGGAUGGUCAAUUUGGUAAAGUAAAUCCGUUGGGCAUCUUUCUUUGCCUUUAGACAACAAUUCUGAUGGCAAAAGAGCCAAACG